rnacentral:lncRNA from 1 species
AGAAUGCCAAAGAGCAGCAGGAUGGAUCCAGCAUCCUCUCCUGAUAAAAGAGGGCUAGAAGACGGGAGGCUCCGGGAAGUCUACUGGGUGAGUAUUAGUCCACUCUCACAUUGCUAUCAAGAAAUACCUGAUACUGGGUAAUUUAUAGAGAAAAAAGGUUUAAUUGACUCACGGUUCUGCAAGCUGUCCAGGAAGCAUAGCGGCUUCUGACUCUGGGGUGGCCUCAGGAAGCUUCCAAUCAUGGAAGAAGGCAAAGUAGGGGCAGGUAUCUCACAUGGCAGUAGCAGGAGGAAGAGAGCGAGGGGGAGGUGCCACACACUCUUUAACUACCAGAUCUGACAGAUAACUCAUUGUUCCAAGGGCAGGACAAAGGGGAUGCUGCUAAA